GAUGAACGCUGGCGGCGUGCCUAAUACAUGCAAGUCGAGCGAACGGACGAGAAGCUUGCUUCUCUGAUGUUAGCGGCGGACGGGUGAGUAACACGUGGAUAACCUACCUAUAAGACUGGGAUAACUUCGGGAAACCGGAGCUAAUACCGGAUAAUAUUUUGAACCGCAUGGUUCAAAAGUGAAAGACGGCCUUGCUGUCACUUAUAGAUGGAUCCGCGCUGCAUUAGCUAGUUGGUAAGGUAAUGGCUUACCAAGGCAACGAUGCAUAGCCGACCUGAGAGGGUGAUCGGACAAACUAGAACUGAGACACGGUACAGACUCGUACGGGAGGCAGCAGUAGAGAAUCUUCCGCAAUGGGCGAAAGCCUAACGGGGCAACGCCGCGUGAGUGAUGAAGGUCUUCGGAUCGUAAAACUCUGUUAUUAGGGAAGAACAUAUGUGUAAGUAACUGUGCACAUCUUGACGGUACCUAAUCAGAAAGCCACGGCUAACUCCGUG
rnacentral:rRNA from 1 species